rnacentral:lncRNA from 1 species
AUAACAUGCAUUUCUUUUAUAGAUGGACGAAAUAGACUAUAACAAGGCCCUGGAAAUGGCCCCAGAAAGAACAUUUUAUAGAUUCCCCCUAUAUCUGGUCAAUGGAGUACCUCUCAUGAAGCCCAUUGCUGAUGAUUGGCAGAGUGUGGAAAGGUUCCAGGCUCGACCAGAUGACUUGCUAAUAGCCACGUAUCCCAAAGCAGGUGAGAAGAUUGAUGUACCGUGUAAUGGCACCCCCAGGUAUAACAGAGGUUAACAGCCGUUUAGGAAAUAUUCCCUUCCAGAUAUACAGUCAGCUACUGUAGACACCAAUCCACCGAACCGGGGAAGCAUACGAAUGCUCUCAAACAUACGAAUGCUGUAAACAGCCGAAUAGGAAAACAGACAGAGCGGUGGGUUUAUUUUUCUUAUAUGCACAUUCUUAAAUAUUAGUACCACCCACAGGGUUUUGUAAAACAACCAAUAAACACGUAAUACACAGUAAAACACUCCCAUUCAUGCCAGCAGAAUCCUCCCCUCUGCCUGUGAUUUAAUUACUGAACACAAUGGGCUAACAUAAUUAUCACAGGCAGGAAAAUACACAGUUUUACACAAUAUUCAUAACUUUACAUACUUACAUUUUCAGAAUCAGCAUAUUCCAAAUACAAACAUAUGUCAAAAUCAUACAAAUUGGUCCAGUGGGUCAAAAGUUAGUUGGAAGUCCCUUUGUGACCACCUGCAAGCAUGGCUUGGGUGUGGUAAGCCAAUUAUCUCCAGCAUACAGAAAAUAGCUCUAUUCACAAUGUGAUCCUUGUUUGCAGAUAGCACGGUCUUCUAGGGUAAACAACAGGCAUGGUCCUUUUAUUUUCAUAUAAUCCAGGCACUUUAUUUGUAAGUCCACACAGUAGACAGCACCAAAUGAAAACAUAAAUAUAACACAAAUCCCUAUAAACAAAAACCUAGCUCAUCUGAGCACUUACUAACAUCAGGUUCCCUAUCUCUAGAACAAAACAAUAUUGGUUUCACCAGAUUAGUGUCUUUGUCAGCUCUCUGCACUCCAGUGCUUAGUCAGCCUGUUGCUUUACUUUCUACACUCCCAGUGCUCCAAGCCAGCCUUAACUGCUUUCCUUUUGCACACCCAGUGGUCCAAGCCAGCCUUGACUGCUUUCCUUUUGCACUCCCGGUGCUCAGUCUCCUUGACUCUCUCACUGGAGAGAACAGACUCUCUCCUACCUGCUUCCAGGGAGGAAGCCAGCAAUCCCCCUUUACCUGCUUAGCAUGGAGGGGUUUAUUCCCACUGCUACAGCUGAUUAUCUACAGCUGAGCAGUGGUUUGGAGACAGUUCCAAAAAAACUCUGGCCUGGACCUUAUUUCUCCCAGUUGUGUAUAAACUGAGGAGUGGAGCAUUGGCCCACCCUGCUCUCCAAAUGCUCCACCCCAGGGGCCCAUAACUAAACAUAGCUUUGUGUUGCACACCACACAUACAACACGUACUUCCCCUUGGAGUUUUUAAAUGUUAAAAGCCUCUCUGCCUUCACUUUAUCACAACAACAACAACAGUAAAAAUAGACAAAUAUACAUAAUUCCCAUUACACUAAACAGAACCCCCACAUUCAACCUAUCCCCAGAUAGCUUGGAUCUGAGCACUCAAUAUAUCCGAACAGUGCUCAGAUCCCACAAAGAGAACAAAAUCGCCAUAGGGUUAAGUCUAGCAUGGGCUGAUGAGAGGGGCCAUAGUCAUGAGGCAGGAGGCUGGCAACCAGGCUUCUCCAUAACCCAGUGACGAAGUUAGUUUCGCCACAUACCGGUCCUUCACUCAAUCUGUCUCCAUCUUCCAUUCAGCUAUUCUCUUGCUUUAAAAAUAAUUUAACUAAUGAAAGCAAUUGUUGAUUUUAUUAAAGACACAGAGGCUCUUAUGAUGCUCAACUCUUUCUUUAUUUCCCUCAGCAGCAAAGAAACAUGAAAGAAAUCAUAUGAACAAAACAUACAAAACUGCACAGAAACAUGUAGACCAGGUCCAUAAAAGGUGUGACUGAUAAACUCCUCAGCUUUCUUCGCUGCUCCCUCGGACCAGUUACUUAAUAAUUCUGUACACUUCACUACAAUAGUACACACAUAUAUUGCCAUAUGACUCUUCCAGUUUGUCUGUCCUGGUGUGUGCUCUGCCCUCUUCCCUGUCCCCUUUUCCACUUCCAAGGGACUUUUUUCUCCAUUCCAGGUGUUUGCUGCUCUCUGCUCCAUUCUGGGAGAGCAGUGCGGGUUGGCUGCAUGUUCGCACUUCUUUCUCGCUCACGCUGGCCUUUUUCCUGUGUGUUUGGUUGGCGCUCGUACACAUUGGCACUAAUGACGGCCAUAUUUUCAAUGGAUUUUCUGCCGUGAAUGACGGUCAUUCGUUCUGUGGUCAUUUUAGGAGGUGGGUCUGUUGAGUCCGAAUUUGGCGUGCUUUCCCAGGGUAGUGUUGCUUGUAGGCACCCAAUAGAGCCUGCUACCACGCCUGGAGCACCAUGGAAGGAAUCUGCUGUUCCUUAGAAGUAUUUAAAGUCAAAUUUCAAAGGAUUCACAGGGUACUGCAAAUAUAUACAUAUAUAUUAUAUACAAUGUUUCGACAUCAAUCCUUAAUCACCUACUGCUCGUUCUGUCGACAUUUUGUCCCUAACACCGGCACUUACUGCUUCUAGCUCCUUGGACUCAUCUGUGUUUGCUUCUACAGUGAGUUACUGCUUAAGGGUUAAUCAACCUUGAUCCUUUUAUUUUUGUUAGCUUAUAUAUUUUUUGUUACCUCUAUUCAUUUAAUUUUUGGGUACUGUAUUUCUGUGAUGAUUUGAGGUUUUUCACUGGUGCCAGUGAUUUUGUGCCACUUUUGUCCAAGUGCUGUGGUUGAUAUGCAUCCAAUGGGAUGAACCAACCUAUGGCCAUGUCAAAAUCAAAGAUAGUCCCAUCAGAUUUUGCAGACUCAAGCAGUUCAUACAAUUGGGCCCCAAGUAUCCAAAAUGUUUCUCCUGGCAGUUUUAAAGGGAACACUCCAGUCAUUUCUCAUGUUUCCCCUCAGUCUUAUUCAAGAAUUAAGUAAUCUGUGGAUCCACUUCAGGGGUCUUGCAUGCCAAGUCCGGCACAAAUGGCCCUCUUUGGAUAGAGGUUUACGCAUCCUCAAAGUCAAGUAUUGGGCAAUAUGCCAAGGGGUUUCCCAUUCAACUGACAGUGGAUAUCACAGACCAUGCAGGUCAAACAAGGGAAUACCCUGUGGGUUCCGGAGAUUGGCCUCCACGGUCUUCAAAAUGGAGCUGUGUAGGGGAGCGGGGCCGGACCGCCAGGCUGAACGGACACACAAUGGAGUAGCUCCUGCAAAAAUCUCCGGUUUUAGCAUUAAAACAACAGCUUCAAGCUUACCUGACAACUGGCUGCUGAACCCCGGCAUUAGAGGCCACCCUGGUCCCGAGGAGAGGCUUGCUGAGAAGUUUUAGUCCCUCGGAGGUGCGAUCCCUGUCGCGCGAUGAGGACCGCUCGGACGGUGAGCGGGGUGGACGGCCGCUGCCCAGCUAUCCUGCACACCAGCAGUAAGGCAGGAACCCGGGGCUAGGCGGGUCUGGCCCCGUGCCCCCCCUCCCCCGGGCCGGUGGGGGUGAUCCUGGUCCCCACCCCGUGACCCAUCGGAACACCACAACACUGGCGCCCGGAGCGGAGAAAGAGAGGGCCCAGCGCACAGUCCGUUUUUAAAAUGGUGGAGACCACGUGGCAGGCGACCCUGAUGACAGCCGGGCGCACUCACACCUCCUGUAGCCUCAUAAGCAGCCUAUCGAACCAGACAGAGCAGGAACCGGCAAAAAGGGUAAUAAGACCCCAAGAGGUGAACUAAGGAAGAACUAUUACGGAAUAACAGCCUACAUACCAUACCAUGCUGCACACAGUGAGGGAGCCGAAACACACGGACUGACCACCCAUGGUAACAUGAUUUCUGGAGCCUCUCUACAGUCUGAGACAAGUGCUGGACCGUUCUACUCACAAAGGGACUAUGAGCAGUACAGUAGCCACCGAGCUUCCCGUAGCAACAGUCAUGCUGCACAAAGGCUGGUCUCCUGACAGGCAAACAAUGAUCCUCGUCUGGCUGACAUGGGACUCACUUGGGGGGAUACUCCAGAGGCUAAUCUUAAAUGCUAGGGCUGUUUAUUAGAGCUGCACAUGUUUAGUCCAAGCAUAACAUAACCUCUCACAAAGCUCAGGCAGCCAACCAAGAUGUAUACUCGUUAUUGUAGUCAGUGUAAGAAGAGCUUAUUUACUAUCAUUUAGAACUUUAGUAAUAACAGUCAUCAACUACUCGAAUGUCAAUGUUAUAUCUUACAGGAUAAAAAAUGCAUACUCAUUUACUGUAGUCACUAGUGUGUAUCGGAUGUUAGAAUACACAAUCAAUAGACUCAUCAACAAAGUAACAACCAAUUACUUAUGUAUGCACGGUUUAAUUGAUCUAUACAAAUGCUACUCAAGCACUCUAAGCGUGUCCUAUUAUAAAAAUUAAAUGUGCUGUAAACUCUGCCAUGAUAUUGUAUACCAAUGCAUAGCUGGUACUCGCUGUUGUGGCGUUACGAGCCUGUUUGUAAAUGUAAGCACAAGAAAAAUAAAGAAUUAAAAAAAAAAAUGGAACUGUGUUACUUAGACUCAACACCUUUGGGAGUAUCAUUCCCUUCGGCCUUGCAGGUGGCAGACUCAGCUUCAUCAUAAGAAGCAUAACCAGGUUCAUCUGAACUGUCCUCUUCACCGAGGUCUGCAUCAGACCAAUCUUGAAAGACGAACAGGUUGUUCCAGAUUGUAUCUGUUAUCUGUCCUUAGGUGUUCGCUAGAAAGAGGAGGUGUUUAUCAGUCACAUGUUUUAUAGACCUGGCCUACAUUCUGAUUGGUUGCACUGUUUUUAUGCAGUUUUAUAUAUUUUAUUCACAUGAUGUAUUUCAUAUUUAUUUGCUGCUGAGGGAAAAAAAUACAUUUUUAAGCAGAAUACUCGCCUCCGUGUCGUUAAUAAAAUUGUGACUUUAAAUCAUGUUAAUAGUAAAAUCUGGGAACUUUGCUGCCUAGUUGUUUUCAUUUGUAUAUUCUUUCAAAUUUCUGUGUUGUGGACAAUUCUCUGUUUCCCAAGGUACCACGUGGAUGCAGGAGAUUGUGGAUUUAAUUGUGAGUGAAGGAGAUGUGGAGAAAACCAAACGUGCUCCCACCCAUGUUCGCUUUCCUUUCAUGGAAAUGACUCUCCCUCUUUUACCCUCCGGUAAGCAAACCACGCAUCCACCCCCCAAUGUGAUGACCUAUGGCCACUGCAAUCAUGGCCCAUGUGUUGAUUAGCAUCUCGUUGUCUGGCAGGAGUCGAUAUACUGGAGAAGACGCCAUCUCCUCGACUAAUCAAAACCCACCUGCCUUAUGAACUGAUACCCAAAUCCAUCUGGGAUCAUAACUGCAAGGUAUACAUUGAAUUACAAACCUGCUUUAAAAAACCCGUUAUACGUUGCUGUGGCAGAAAGUUAUCUGUAUUUAGUUAGAUAGUGUGUCUGUGUUAAUAGGUGCAAAUGGAUGAAGUGACUCUGUUAAUGGGGUCUCUGUAUUAAUGGAUGCAAGGUGAUGGGGUGUCUGAGUUAAUGGAUGCAAGGUGAUGGGGUGUCUGAGUUAAUGGGUGUGAGGAGAUGGGGUGUCUGCGUUAAUGGAUCCAAUGUGAUGGGGUGUCUGUGUUAAUGGGGUGUCUGUGUUAGUGGGUGGGAGCUGAUGGGGUGUCUGCGUUAAUGGGGUGGGAGUUGAUGGAGUGUCUGCGUUAGUGGGUGUGAAGUGAUGGGUAUCUGUAUUAAUAGGUGCAAGGUGAUGGGGUGUCUGUGGGUGGGAGGUGAUGGGGUGGCUGUGUUAGUGGGGUGUCUGUGUUAAUGGGGUGUCUGUGUUAGUGGGUGGGAGCUGAUGGGGUGUCUGUGUUAAUGGGGUGUCUGGGUUAGUAUGUGGGAGCUGAUGGGGUGUCUGUGUUAAUGGGGUGUCUGGGCUAGUAGGUGGGAGCUGAUGGGGGGUCUGUGUAAAGGGUUUGGUUUGCUGGGAUAUUUGCAUUAAUAAGGUUGAUGGGGGUCUGAUGAGAUAUUUACAUUAAUACGUUGAGGGAUGACGGUGUACUUAUAUGAAUGAGGUGGGGCAGAUCGGAUAUUUGCAUUAAUGACUUGGGGCUGAUGGGGUAUUUACAUUAAUGAGUUGGGGGUUGAUAUGGUAUUUAUAUUAACGAGGCAGGGGCAGAUGGGGUAUUUACAUUAAUGAGUUGGGGGUUGAUGGGGUAUUUACAUUAAUGAGUUGAGGGCAGAUAGGGUAUUUAAAUUAAUGAGUUUUGGGCAGAUGGGGUAUUUACAUUAAUGGAGUAAUAGUUUAUGGAGUAUUUGUGUUGAUGGGUUGGGGUUGAUGGUGUAUUUCUAUUAAUGGGGUUAAGAGUUGGAUAUUAUUGCACUUUUUCUCUGCUAGGUGAUCUACGUUGCCCGUAACGCUAAGGACAAUGCCGUGUCUUACUAUCACUUUGAUAAGAUGAACAAGACGCAGCCUGAUCCUGGCACGUGGGAGGAAUACGUGGAGGCAUUCUUAAAAGGGAAAGGUGUGUACCCAACCUGGAGAUAUCGUAAGCCAAGUAACUUCUGGAGUCCAGUAACCUGUUCUUACCCUAGACCUAGCACACAAAGGUGUUAAUGGACACCUUAAUGGGUAUCAUUCCUUAUACAUUUUCCUUUGCUGACUUGUGUCUGGUAUUGUAGAACUAUAAUCACAUUACAAUCCAUUUUGUUCUGUUGGUAAUGUCGCUUACUUCAGAAAAUGUUAUAGUCUUAAAUCUGGGCCUAAACUGGGUCAAGAUGUGAUAAUCUUGCAAUGUCGCGCUUGAUAGGUUGAUAUUAUGAGGUUAAUGACAAAAGGGAAGAAAUUAAAACUUUCUGGACGUUUUUUGAUAUCACAAAAAGUUCAUUAAUAAUGCUAAUAGGUUACAAAUGUUUAAGAAAAUCCAUUAAGUACCAAUAGGACAUAGUGUGUGUUAGACUUGAAGAUUUGUGUAGUUCCUAACUUGGGCUUAUCGAACAAAUUCCUGAAUUCUGAGACGAAAUGUAGCUGAAUGGCUUGUGCAAUGGACAAUCGACUCGUGCAAUGGACAGGUUUUCACAUUUCUUGUGUACUGUCGACAGGGUGCUUUCUUCCUCCAUCUAUUCGUAAGUGUGGGGAUUCCCCCUCUGUACAGCUUACAGCUUGGGUGUCCAACGGUCCGUAAUCAACAGUCACCCGCACUCCAAGUCUGCAAAAACCUCUGGUCUAGUUCACGUACCGACUUCACAGUUUAUCUUGCCCUCUCCUUCUCAAUAAACCAAUCUCAGUGCUCUGGAUCUGAUUAAACUAAUGUUGUAUCUCGGUCGUGUCUUCUGCUCAUCUCACAUCCCUCGGACCCUGCAGACACCAAACCUCCGACGUCUUACGUCAUAUCCUCUCCUCCCAUCAUGCAACGGACAAGCAUGUUUGUUUGAUUAGUGAUUUGGAAUUCUGUCCAUGGCAACAAAAGAAGGAGAUGACUAUUGGGGAAAAAUGAUUGAAGGUUAGGGGAAAGUACCUAAAUUUAAAUUUUACUCAGAUAUCAAAUGAGAAGUGACCGAUAGAGGUCAUUUGAUCUUUGAACCAAUAUUGGAAAAAUGUGCUUCUCUUUGUACUGCAAAAUAUACACAGAAUAUUUAGAUUAUAUUUGUAUUAUUAUAUAUUUUGUAGAACACUGAUUGGCCCAUUUUCACAUCCUUGUGGUUCAUGUGUUUCAUUUCAUCCCAAAUCUUUUUCGUUAAUGAAAUUCAGCCUUCCCAAAUUGCCACUUUUUAAUAUCACAGUGUUUCGGCCAACACUAUUUUUUUCAGUGUGACAUGUCUAAUGGGCGUGUUCUUCCCUAAUAUUUCUCAUAUCAUGCACAUGUGUACUUGGUAUGUUUCAGAUAAUUUAAUGACCUUUAAUUACAUUGCUUAUUUGCCCAUUACUGGUCUGAUUAAUAGGGAAUUGUUAAUUAACGCUGUGUGUGCACGACAUCAGUUUAGAGGAGCUGUUUGUGGUGUUCAUUUUGCCUAUGAACUAACUAUUAGAAAUAUUUCAGGGUAUUGAUUAUAUGUUAAAUUCACUAUGUUUUCCAUGGUCCCUUUAAAGUAUCAAUACGCUCUCUAUGGCAGGAUUGUAAUGGCUGAAACUGACAAUCCAAGCACCAAAACAACUACAGUCUAUAUACAGUGGUCCUUGUCCAAAGAGACUGUCCCUGAAGCCUCAGCAACACAAACACGGUCUUUCCUGAGAAAGACCACCUCUCUCAGACGGGUACUAGAGGUACUUUGUGCUUCGCCCCUGCAAUCUAAGCAGGUCCAACAUUCGGUGUCUUGGUGCUCUGCACAUUCCCCAUACAGAUGCUUGUAUUUCUAUCACGAAGAACCAUUAAAUACUACCUAAUGUUUAGUUUAAAUAUGGAUCUGAAGAUGUAUUCUACAACAAUUAGGGGAAACUGAAAACCAAUUAGGAAAAUGUGCACAAUAUUUCCAAUAGUUUAGAUUUAUCCCUGAGCACAGCUAGCGUCAAGCCACCCAAGCAAUGCAACAGAAUAACUGUUCUGAGAAAGCAGAAAGUCAGACAAUCACUUUGAAGGAGAUAAAGGGUUCACGGGCUGGGAGUGAAGUCAUCUUUAUCUCGUAUUACGAGACAAUUGGUCAUAAGUUUCAUUAUUUAAUACAAGACACUGUAUAUAUUAUUAUACAUAAUCACAGACCGUAAACAGCUGGAAAAACAAACCUACAUUUAUCAACUUGGACUUCACAUAGACUCACAAUCUUUCUUUUCACAGUGGGCUGGGGCAGUUGGUUUGACCACGUGAUCGGCUGGUGGAAAGCAAAAGACAAACACCGAAUCCUGUACAUGUUCUACGAGGAUAUGAAGGAGGUGAGAGGUUGAUUCACAGAUGGAAUGGGGGCAUUUAAUGUUGUAGCUUCUAACAGGACACUUUCUUUCUCACCAGGAUCCAAAGCGUGAGAUCCGGAAGGUGAUGGAUUUCCUGGGUAAGAAUCUGUCUGAGGAUAUUCUGGAGAAGAUCUAUCGGCACACCUCAUUCCAGGCCAUGAAGGACAACCCCAUGGCCAACUACACCACCAUUCCAUCUUCUGUAUUAGACCAUUCAUGCUCUCCAUUCAUGAGAAAAGGUGAGAACAGUAUUUUAUUUUAAUUUCCCUCUCUCAUAUUUAGAAAUGAUUAAAAUCUGUGCUUAAUUUUCUAACGCCACCAUUUAAUGUGAUUUUUCUCAUUUCAGGGGAAGUGGGUGAUUGGGUGAAUCAUUUCACAGAAGCUCAGAGCGAGGCUUAUAACAACGAGUACAAUAAAAAGAUGCAGGGAAUUGACCUCGUGUUCCGUUGCAAAAUUUAAUCUGAAAGGACACAUUGAGUUGCGGGAACCCCAUAUACCUCCUGAGACAAUUGUCAGAAGAUAAAAAUGCACCUAACUCUACUAAUUAUCUUACAUACCUAUCCAAAGAGCUACAAAGGAAGUCAAUAUAUGUGAAUAUUGAUACUGUGACAAUGACAGCUCACUCCUUUCUCUCAGGGCUGUAUUAACGCAUGGGCACGCUGGGCAGUUGCCUGGGGGCCCCAUGAGCAAAGGAGCCAACUUUUCAGGGUGUUAUUUUGGGAGAAUAAUUCAGAAGCUUCAAACUCUCUUUAUUAAAAUGUUUAGGUUGACUAGUCACCGCAGGUUUAGCUGUUAUCUGUACAUACGAUGUUGCUGUUGCGAAUACGUUUCUUGACCUUGACGAAAACAACGUACACAUACUAAUUGCGCAUAAGCAAAACAAAAUAAAGCCUAAUAAAGUAUUUCUGAUAUUUUUACCACUCCAUGUCACUUGCCUCCCCCUGCUACCUACUAAAAGCUUGUAUGGAUUAAAAUGUUUUAAUGUUUAAACACUGAUUCUGUUGCAGGUAACUGCGUUCUCUGAC